rnacentral:misc_RNA from 1 species
CAAAAUUUCCAUCUGAUGAUUCGUGCCCUCAAGUUCACCUUUGACCAUGGUGGAGACACUGGUGAAGAUAUCAUUCAAUGAUUCAGCAAGCUCAUCCUUAACCUCCACUUCCUCCUCCUUUCCAGCAGCCAUGUUUAGGUGCCAAGAUCUGUUUUAAAAACGAAAAAAAACUUCUCUCGGCUUGCAGUGCAAUCGCCAGCAAGGGAUUGUUGUUGAGGUUCUUCAAACGCU